AUUGAACGCAGGCGGCAUGCCUUACACAUGCAAGUCGAACGGCAGCACGGGGGCAACCCUGGUGGCGAGUGGCGAACGGGUGAGUAAUGCAUCGGAACGUGCCCAGUAGUGGGGGAUAACCAGUCGAAAGACUGGCUAAUACCGCAUACGACCCAAGGGUGAAAGCGGGGGACCGUAAGGCCUCGCGCUAUUGGAGCGGCCGAUGUCUGAUUAGCUAGUUGGCGGGGUAAGAGCCCACCAAGGCGACGAUCAGUAGCUGGUCUGAGAGGACGACCAGCCACACUGGGACUGGGACACGGCCCAGACUCCUACGGGAGGCAGCAGUGGGGAAUUUUGGACAAUGGGCGCAAGCCUGAUCCAGCCAUGCCGCGUGCGGGAAGAAGGCCUUCGGGUUGUAAACCGCUUUUAGCAGGAACGAAACGGCGCAGGCCAAUACCUUGCGCUAAUGACGGUACCUGCAGAAUAAGCACCGGCUAACUACGUGCCAGCAGCCGCGGUAAGAC
rnacentral:rRNA from 1 species